GAAGGAUGGAGCUUGUCCCCUUCAUAAAACUGAGAAAAAGAAGGUGCAGGGCUGUGGCUGAUACUCAACAGGGGAAGACAAUCCCAGCUGUGUUCCCAUACGGGUAAGAUCAGGUAACUGGUUCAGGCCAGUGGAACAUGGCAUAUCCCACAGCCCACUCUGUACUGGGCAUGGCAUGUUAAAAGCUCUCCCCUGCAUUCUCCUACUUUUCUCUUCUCCAUUUACCAGCUAGAAGUUCAUGUCCAGGGUGACCUCAGAAUCUAUAGGGUGAAGAUGGCCAUGUCUCUGGGAUCUGAGGCUCCUGGGUGUCUGAGUGACAGAGGAUUUCAGGUGAAGGUCAGAAAAUGUCUUCAUAAAAGAUAAGAAAAGUAAAUGCUC
rnacentral:lncRNA from 1 species